AUGCCGUCCCUCGGCCCGGAGACGGCGGGGGAGGAGGAGGAGGAGGCCGACCGCCGGCGGCAGGAGGCGGAGGGGAGGAUGAUGGAGCUCGCGCGGGCGUGCGGCGAGCUGGGGACGCCCCCGUCCCCCCAGCGCCGUUCGAGCGCGCGCCUGCGGCGGCCGGAGGCGCCGCCGGCCACGCAGACGCAGUGUGAUGAGUUGGUGAAGAGAUCCACCAAGAGGAAGAGACCUCGUAGCACCGCGUAUGAAAACGAAGCUGAUAUGGAGCGCCAGGAGGCGGAGGGGGGGAUGAUGGAGCUCGCGCGCGCGUGCGGCAACCUGGGGACGCCCCCGUCCUCGCAGCGCCGUGCGAGCGCGCGCUUGCGGCGGCCGGAGGCCACUCCGCACGAGUUCGUGAAGAGAUCCGCCAAGAGGAAGAGAGCUCGUGGCACUGUGUAUGAAAAUGAAGCCGAUGUGAAGCUUAAGCGGCGAUUCAACAACACCAUCAGGUGCUCACUCAAGGAGUUCUUCGAGUGCGCGGAGCUGCUCAAGGACCGGCACGUGGCGAGGGUCCGCAAGGCGGGGUUCGGCGCCAUGCUGGACGGCAAGGUCAGGGGGCUCAUUAGCCGGCCUCUCAUCGGCUUCCUCAUGGGCAAGAUAGACCCAGCAACCAUGACAAUGAAGCUAGGGGAAUCAAAGGUGAUUGCUAUUACCAGCGACGCCAUUCACCACCUUUUUGGCCUGCCUCAAGGAGGGCACACGGCCCCGAGGCCUUCGGAAAGUGGCUACGACAAUGCAGUGAUGAAGCUGAAGGUAGAGCUCGGGUUUAAAAGGUCUGAUAACGUCAUGACGAGGGAUCUGCGGGGUCUGCUUAAGCGGCUGGUGGAGGACGAGGAGAAAGAUGAGUUGGCACUCAAGGUUUUUUUCUUGGUCGUUUUCAUGAAGGUGAUCUGCCCGGGGGCCUCCGCGCGCGUCUCUAGGGAGGCAGCAAUGCUGGAAGAUCUGGCUUUUGAUAAGAUGGCGGACAUGGAUUUCUGCCAGCUGCUUGUCGACGAGCUGCAGAGAGCGGUGGUGAGGUAUCAAAGUGGCAAGGCUAUCACGGGCUGCGCCAUCGCGCCCCUCUUGAUCUACCUUGAUUGCUGCAACUUGAGGAAAGUUUCUGAGUUGGAUACGCGGACGCCUCGAACCCAUUUCAUGACCGUUGAUAACCUUAAGAAGAUAGCCAGCGCCGACUUGAUUGAAAAGGGGGGUCCUGAUCCCCAGACCUGGCUUUACGGCAAAUUACCGUGGAAGGCUCAUAAGGACAUAGUGUACUAUGGAUUAAUUGUUGAACCAAUCUGUUCUGUCCCACCAAUUGCCGUGCCGGAUCUUCGCGCCGCCAAGAGGAUGCCGUCUCUCGGCUCGCAGACAACGGGGAAGGAGGAGGAGGUCGACCGCCACCGGCAGGAGGCGGAGGGGAGGAUGAUGGAGCUCGCGCGCGCGUGCGGCGAGUUGGGGACGCCCGCGUACCCCCAGUGCCGUUCGAGUGCGCGCCUGCGGCGGCCGGAAGCACCGGCGGCCACGCAGAUUGGGGCUACUGUGCUGCAUUGGCUUUCCUCUUCUGAACUUCCACAUACUCAGGUCCUGAACUUCCUGUUCUGCUCUAAUGUUUUUGCACUUAAGCGGGGAUUCAACCAGACCAUCAGGUGCUCGCUCAAGGAGUUCUUCGAGUGCGCCGAGCUGCUCAAGGACCGGCACCUGGCGAGGGUCCGCAAGGCAGGGUUCGGCGCCAUGCUGGACGGCAAAGUCAGGGGGCUCAUUAGCCGGCCUCUCAUCGGCUUCCUCAUGGGCAAGAUAGACCCGGCAACCAUGACACUGAAGCUGGGGGAAUCAAAGGUCGUCGCUAUCACCAGCGAUGCCAUUCACCACCUUUUCGGCCUGCCUCAAGGAGGGCACACAGCUCCGAGGCCUUCGGAAAGCGGCUACGACAAGGCAGUGAUGAAGCUGAAGCUAGAGCUUGGGUUUAAAAGGUCUGAUAUCAUCAUGACAAGGGAUCUGCGGGGUCUGCUUAAGCGGCUGGUGGAUGACGAGGAGAAGGAUGACCUGGCGCUGAAGGUCUUUUUCUUGGUUGUUUUCAUGAAGGUGAUCUGCCCGGGGGCCUCCGCACGCAUCUCUAGGGAGGCGGCAAUGCUGGAAGAUCUGGAUUUUGAUAAGAUGGCGGACAUGGAUUUCUGCCAGCUGCUUGUCGAUGAGCUGCAGAGAGCGGUGGUGAGGUAUCAAAGCGGCAAGGCUUUGUGGCAGGCUAUCACGGGCUGCGCCAUCGCGCCCCUCUUGAUCUACCUUGAUUGCUGCAACUUGAGGAAAGUUUCUGAGUUGGAUACGCGGACCCCCCGUACCCAUUUCAUGACCGAUGAUAACCUUAAGAAGAUAGCCAGCGCUGACUUGAUUCGAAAGGGGGGUCCUGAUCCUCAGACCUGGCUUUACGGCAAAUUACCGUGGAAGGCUCACAAGGACAUAGUGUAUUAUGAAUUAAUUGUCGAACCAAUUUGUUUGGUGAUGCCAAUUGCAAGAGGUGCCCAGAUCCGGCAUUCAUCGUUGAAGAAGACCAUUGGCCCCCAAGGGGCAGUGGCUGAUGACGCUCCAGCUCCAGCCGUGGCAGGCAGCAGUAAUGGCGUCGCUCCUGAGUCCGAGAAGAGCAAUGAUAAUGUUGCAGCUACAGCCCUGAAUCAGAUUGAUGUGCUGCUGGCAAGAGCAUGCGAUCUAUCGCGCCAAGUGCCUACUUCAAGUGCCCGACUCAGCCACACCGAAGGCAUUCUUCCACCGGGGCACGGUUUUGAUGCUGAAGCCGCGAAGCAGGGCCUCUCGAAGGAAGCCGCACUUCUCUACCCAGGCACCGAGGCCUUUCUGGAUCCCCGUGCCGCCGAGAGGAUGCCGUCUCUCGGCUCGGAGACGGCGGGGGAGGAGGAGAAAGUCGACCUCCGGCGGCCGGAGGCGGAGGAGACGAUGGUGGAGCUCGUGCGCGCAUGCGGCGAGCUGGGGACGCCCCCGUACCCCCAGCGCCGUUCGAGUGCGCGCCUGCGGCCGCCGGAGGCGCCGGCAGCCACACAGUACGAGUUCGUGAAGAGAUCCGCCAAGAGGAAGAGAGCUCGUAGUACUGUGUAUGAAAAUGAAGCCGAUAUGAAGCUUAACCGGGAAUACAACAAGACCGUCAGGUGCUCGCUCAAGGAGUUCUUCGAGUGCGCGGAGCUGCUCAAGGACCGGCACCUGGCGAGGGUCCACAAGGCGGGGUUCGGCGCCAUGUUGGACGGCAAGGUCAGGGGCCUCAUUAGCCGGCCUCUCAUCGGCUUCCUCAUGGGCAAGAUAGACCCAGCAACCAUGACAAUGAAGCUCGGGGAAGCAAAGGUCGUCGCUAUCACAAGCGACGCCAUUCACCACCUUUUCGGCCUGCCUCAAGGAGGGCACCCUGCCCCGAGACCUUCAGAAAACGGCCACGACAAGGCAGUGAUGAAGCUGAAGCAAGAGCUCGGGUUUAAAAGGUCUGAUAACAUCAUGACGAGGGAUCUGCGGGGUCUGCUUGAGCGGCUGGUGGAGGACGAGGAGAAAGAUGAGUUGGCGCUCAAGGUUUUUUUCUUGGUUGUUUUCAUGAAGGUGAUCUGCCCGGGGGCCUCUGCGCGCGUCUCUAGGGAGGCGGCAAUGCUGGAAGAUCUGGAUUUUGAUAAGAUGGCAGACAUGGAUUUCUGCCAGCUGCUUGUCGAUGAGCUGCAGAGAGCGGUGGUGAGGUAUCAAAGCGGCAAGGCUCUGUGGCAGGCUAUCACGGGCUGCGCCAUCGCACCCCUCUUGAUCUACCUUGAUUGCUGCAACUUGAGGAAAGUUUCUGAGUUGGAUACGCGGACCCCUCGAACCCAUUUCAUGACUGAUGAUAAUCUUAAGAAGAUAGCCAUCGCUGACUUGAUUCAAAAGGGGGGUCCUGACACCAAGACCUGGCUUUACGGCAAAUUACCCUGGAAGGCUCAUAAGGAGAUAGUGUACUAUGAAUUAACUGUCGAACCAAUCUGUUCUGUCCCGCCAAUAGCAAGAAGUGCCCAGCUCCGGCGUUCAACGCCGAAGAAGACCAUGGACCCCCAAGGGGCUGCGACCGAUGAUGAUCCAGCCCCAGCCGCGGCGGGCAGCGGCAACGGCGCCGCUCCCGAGCCCGAGAGGAGCCCUGAGAAUGCCGCAGCCACAGCCCUGAGUGAGAUCGACGUGCUGCUGGCAAGGGCAUGCGACUUAUCGUGCCAGGUGCCCACCACAAGCGCCCGGCUCAGCCGCACCGAGGGCAUCCUUCCACCCGGACACGGUUUUGAUGCCGAGGCCGCGAAGGAGGGCCUCUCGAGGGAAGCCGCGCUCCUCGACCAUCUGCAGAAGGCCACGUUCCACCUCCGCUCUUCGUUCGCCCUUUUCAAGAGCAUGCAGGACGACCGGUGCGGGCCGUACGAAGACGAGGCGAAAUCGUUCGCCAAGCGGAUGGCGGAGCAAGAGGCUGCUGCUGCUGCGGCGGCUCGAGGAAGCGAAAGAGAGACGGAGGCGCCCGCCGACGAGCAGUUUGAGGAGGAUGUUGAUGAUCACUUCAUGUCCUGCGACGAUGAGGAUGACGUGGAGGAGGAGGAGGAGGAGGCCGCGUCCCCGGUCUCCACUCCCCCGCAGGACCUGACGGACGACGACGACAAGGAUCCCGACUACGCGGGGUAG
rnacentral:rRNA from 1 species